CGGUCCAAUCGAAUGCCGUUAUCUAUAUAUAGCUGUCAGGUAGUACGACCUGACUAUAAAAUCAUAUUUCAGAUUGAUCUGCGUCGCACUGCGCUAGCUGGUACACUUACUUAACAAAGCAUACAGAAAUCUCUCAUCACUUUUUCACCGGAAAAUAAAAAUCGGAAGAAAAAUGUCUGGAAGAGGUCAAGGCCAAGCUAGUAACGACAACAAGUCUGCCCAGUGUAAUCCAACCAGCACUAAAUAUGAAGGACAUCAGCCUGGUUAUACUGGAACCGGAACUAAGCCCGACCUGGAUAACCACUCCAACCAACUGAAUCCAAACAAUCAGGAAUUCAAGGGGUCGAAAUAACAAUGAAUAUUUAAAGCACGUAUCAGUUUUCAUAUAUACAUGUGCGUGACAUUAACAUUUUGAACAAUACGUACAUUUAAAUUAUUUCAAAUUAAAUAUAUCUGCCUGAUUCUGUGUGAAUACCAUCACUGCCUUGUGAAGUUAGUUUAGCAUAGCAAUAUGUGUGUCUUAAGAGGUCGUUUCAGUAAAUACCCAUCACUGAAUUCCUACUGCUCAAGUGCUACUUUAGUUUACACUGCCGUCGGUUUUGUACGUAUCCUGUUUCGCUUUUUUUAAGUAGUUUUUUAAAUGUUUAGAUAACUGUGGUACAAGUAGAAGGCAUAGCACAUCGAACUUAUUUUAACCCAUCCAUUCCUUUAAAACGGAAUGGAAAAAAUUGAGAAUACAUAGUAUUUUUUCCAUUUGUGGAAACAGUUGCUAAUAUAUAUAUUUUGUCACUGUAACUGUUAACCAUGUAGCAAAAGGUACAAUCGAAUAUAAUUGACACAGAAAACCUGGCUUUUAUAAAGGUCUGAUGUAUGCAUUGCAGAUGAAGGAUUUGCAUACCGACACAAUUUGUCUUAAUUUAUUGGGUUUUUAUUUACUUGUUUAUCAUAAAGAUCAUAAUAUAAAGUAGUAAUUGCCAAGACAAGGAACAUGUCAGUACUCGUUUAUUUGCCCAAGAAAGAUCUUAAAAGACAGUAGCAAAUUUCCAGACUAGAAACAUGUCAACGCUGGUAAUUAGACAAGGGAGAACAACACUGCUCGUAGUAAGUGUCAAGACCAUGAACGUGUCAAUAAUGUUACCUUGAUUUGUCGAACAGAACAUGUCAAUAAUAAAUGACAACAGUAGUUUUCGAUGUUCAAGAGCAUAAAUCGGUUAGACAAAUCAAGGUAACAAAUAAAAUAGAGGGAUUCGCAUGAACUCAAAAAGGAGCGAGACUGUGUGCAUCAUAAAGGUAAUAAACCAAGACAGCUCAUAACAGACAAGUAGUAUCUAUGAUAGAGUCAACUUAUUAAAUUUUAAAUAUUGCAACCAUUAAUUUUACUUUAUUAGCCUGCGGCAAAAGUUUUUAACUUAAAGAAUACACAUCAAAAUAAAACGCUCUGUUAUAUCGCAAACAUACAAUACGAAAUUUAUACUCAAACUACUCAAAAAUAGACAAGUCAUGUAAUUUCUCAAAAAUACAAAAGUGACCAUUAGAAAUCGGAUAAACUAAUGUUUGUCACUGAUGGGAAACACUGAGGAAUCGAAGUAAACAUAUCGUCCAGUUGAUACGACUUCCAGAGAUUUGUGUUUUCAAUAAGAAUUACCUUGAUGAAGGACUGCUUCUUAUACAGAAGCUACUGAAGCACGGAUUCGAGAUCAUAAAGGUAUGGCAGAAACGUUAUUGUGUGUCAGAUGUUCCAGUGAAAGUGAUUCUGAAUGUGAAGAUGAUCCGAAAUCACCAUCGCCUUGUCCUGAAUCACAACAACGCUCUGCUUGUCAAACCGUCAGAGAAAAGAAUGUAAAAGGUGAAACUGUAAAAU